AAACAAUGUGAUUUAAUUAUUAACCAAUCAGGAUGCUUUUACUAUGUUAUUAACCAAUUGCAGAAUACUUGGUCAAUCAUUUUGCUGUGACAAUAGAGAGAAUUAUUAUAACAAAUG